rnacentral:rRNA from 1 species
AGCAUAUCAAUAAGCGGAGGAAAAGAAACCAACAGGGAUUGCCCUAGUAACGGCGAGUGAAGCGGCAACAGCUCAAAUUUGAAAUCUGGCUCUUUCAGGGUCCGAGUUGUAAUUUGUAGAGGGUGCUUUGGAGUUGACUGUGGUCUAAGUUCCUUGGAACAGGACGUCGCAGAGGGUGAGAAUCCCGUAUGUGGCCGCCAGUCUUCUCCGUGUAAAGCCCCUUCGACGAGUCGAGUUGUUUGGGAAUGCAGCUCUAAAUGGGAGGUAAAUUUCUUCUAAAGCUAAAUAUUGGCCAGAGACCGAUAGCGCACAAGUAGAGUGAUCGAAAGAUGAAAAGCACUUUGGAAAGAGAGUCAAAAAGCACGUGAAAUUGUUGAAAGGGAAGCGCUUGCAGCCAGACUUGCCUGUAGUUGCUCAUCCGGGCUUUUGCCCGGUGCACUCUUCUAUAGGCAGGCCAGCAUCAGUCGCGGCGGUUGGAUAAAUGUCUGCACAAUGUACCUCUCUUCGGGGAGGACUUAUAGGGCAGGCGGCAUACAACCAGCUGCGAUUGAGGUCCGCGCAUCUGCUAGGAUGCUGGCGUAAUGGCUGUAAGCGGCCCGUCUUGAAACACGGACCAAGGAGUCUAACAUCUAUGCGAGUGUUUGGGUGUCAAGCCCGAGCGCGUAAUGAAAGUGAACGGAGGUGGGAACCCCUCGGGGUGCACCAUCGACCGAUCCUGAUGUCUUCGGAUGGAUUUGAGUAAGAGCAUAGCUGUUGGGACCCGAAAGAUGGUGAACUAUGCCUGAAUAGGGUGAAGCCAGAGGAAACUCUGGUGGAGGCUCGCAGCGGUUCUGACGUGCAAAUCGAUCGUCAAAUUUGGGGCAUAGGGGCGAAAGACUAAUCGAACUAUCUAGUAGCUGGUUCCUGCCGA